rnacentral:tRNA from 1 species
AGUAAAGUAAGUUAUUUAAACUCCUGGGCCCAUACCCCAACAAAACAGGUUAAACCCCUGUCUUUACUA